rnacentral:rRNA from 1 species
AUUGAACGCUGGCGGCAGGCCUAACACAUGCAAGUCGAACGAGUGGCGGACGGGUGAGUAAUGUCUGGGAAACUGCCUGAUGGAGGGGGAUAACUACUGGAAACGGUAGCUAAUACCGCAUACCAUCAGAUGUGCCCAGAUGGGAUUAGCUAGUAGGUGGGGUAACGGCUCACCAAGGCGACGAUCCCUAGCUGGUCUGAGAGGAUGACCAGCCACAAUGGAACUGAGACAAGGUCCAGACUCCUACGGGAGGCAGCAGUGGGGAAUAUUGCACAAUGGGCGCAAGCCUGAUGCAGCCAUGCCGCGUGUAUGAAGAAGGCCUUCGGGUUGUAAAGCACUUUCAGCGGGGAGGCGUUACCCGAAGAAGAAGCACCGGCUAACUCAGUGCCAGCAGCCGCGGUAAUAC